GAUGAACGCUGGCGGCGUGCCUAAUACAUGCAAGUCGAGCGAACAGAUGAGAAGCUUGCUUCUCUGAUGUUAGCGGCGGACGGGUGAGUAACACGUGGGUAACCUACCUAUAAGACUGGGAUAACUCCGGGAAACCGGGGCUAAUACCGGAUAAUAUUUUGAACCGCAUGGUUCAAUAGUGAAAGACGGUUUCGGCUGUCACUUAUAGAUGGACCCGCGCCGUAUUAGCUAGUUGGUAAGGUAACGGCUUACCAAGGCGACGAUACGUAGCCGACCUGAGAGGGUGAUCGGCCACAUUGGGACUGAGACACGGCCCAAACUCCUACGGGAGGCAGCAGUAGGGAAUCUUCCGCAAUGGGCGAAAGCCUGACGGAGCUAUGCCGCGUGAGUGAAGAAGGCCUUCGGGUCGUAAAACUCUGUUAUAAGAGAAGAACAAAUUGUAGAGUAACUGCUACAGUCUUGACGGUAUCUUAUCAGAAAGCCACGGCUAACUACGUGCCAGCCGCCGCGGUAA
rnacentral:rRNA from 1 species